GGCCUACCAUGGUGGUAACGGGUAACGGGGUGUUAGGGCACGACACCGGAGAGGGAGCCUGAGAAACGGCUACCACAUCCAAGGAAGGCAGCAGGCGCGCAAAUUACCCAAUCCCGACACGGGGAGGUAGUGACAAUAAAUAACAAUACAGGGUCCUUUCGGGUCUUGUAAUUGGAAUGAGUACAAUUUAAAUCUCUUAACGAGGAACAAUUGGAGGGCAAGUCUGGUGCCAGCAGCCGCGGUAAUUCCAGCUCCAAUAGCGUAUAUUAAAGUUGUUGCAGUUAAAAAGCUCGUAGUUGAAUUUCGGGAUCAAUACGUCGGUCGUGCCUCGGUACGUACUAACGUUAUUGAUUUCUCCCUUCUAACAAAUCGUGAUGUCAUUAAUUUGGUGUUACGGGGAGUGAGGACUGUUACUUUGAAAAAAUUAGAGUGUUUAAAGCAGGCAAUCGCUCGAAUACAUUAGCAUGGAAUAAUGAAAUAGGACGUUCGAACCUAUUUUGUUGGUUUCUAGGAUCGACGUAAUGAUUAAUAGGGAUAGUUGGGGGCAUUAGUAUUCAAUUGUCAGAGGUGAAAUUCUUGGAUUUAUUGAAGACUAACUACUGCGAAAGCAUUUGCCAAGGAUGUAUUCAUUAAUCAAGAACGAAAGUUAGGGGAUCGAAGACGAUCAGAUACCGUCGUAGUCUUAACCAUAAACUAUGCCGACUAGGGAUCGGAUGAUGUUAACUUAAUGACUCAUUCGGCGCCUUACG
rnacentral:rRNA from 1 species